AUGAGGCCGUGUGGUUAUGGAUACCAGAGGCAAAGAGAAAGGUCCGCAGAAGGACUCCAACCUCGUGUUUCAAUCAACUACGGUCAGUGGACUAACCACCAACCCAUCGGCUUAGACAAUCGGACAGUCCGAACCAGUCUAGUCUUGGGCGGUUGGAUUAUGUCUUAUUCUUUUUAUUCCUUUUAUCUUUUUCUUUCUUCUUCUUAUGUAUAUUUUCGUGUCUAUGGUGAUGUGUUGGGAUUGGUUAUAACCGUGGUUUUGGUUGAGUAAU
rnacentral:lncRNA from 1 species